rnacentral:lncRNA from 10 species
AGUAACCUGGAGAUUGUCAGUGGGGCCUGGGACAAAGGGACCAGAGACGAAGUCUCACUCUGUCACCCAGGCUGCAGUGCAGUGGCACGAUCUCGGCUCACUACAACCUCCACCUCCCAGGUUUAAGCGAUUCUCCUGCCUCACCCUCCUGAGUAGCUGGGAUUACAGAGUGAAGCCAAAGGCACAGGAAGCACAGCUGGAAUGGGGACAUAGGAACGCGGGGGCUCCCAUGAGUUGACCGGACAACUGAGAGAUGGCAACCUAGACCUGGGGAGCUGACAUAAAAAACACUCAAGAGAACUGAGUCUGGAAAAUGUGAGAAGAAAGUUAAUUUUGGCAAAUUUCUGAGAAAUGAAAAGACGUAUCAACAAGAAAUUUCAUUUCUAAGAGGACAAAAUAUGCUAUGUUUUCGUGAAUCCAUGAUUCGACCUGAAGAAGAAGGAAAGAACUGGACAUCCAGAUGAGUACAUUGAUAUCGAAGAAAAAAAGAGGAGGGAGCACACAGGUGAGCAGGUGCAGGAACCAGCCGGACAAUUUGCCGCCAGCAGGAAUGAACUCCAAGC